UGGAAGAGAGAGAGAGAGAGAGAGAGAGAGGGAGGGAGGGAGAAGACGAGGAUGGAGUAGUUGGGAGAAGUAUACGUAUAAAUAAUUCCCGAUCUUUCUCUCGAUCUCUUUCUCUUUAUGUUGAUGAUGAUAUCUUUAUAUGAUCAAAUAUAAAGCUUGAAAUUGUUCAGAUCUGUUGAUGAUGUGUCUCGAUUUAUUGAUGAUGUUGUUGUUACAGGAUCAUAGGAUCAAAGGUAAAGCUUGAGCUUUUCCGAAUCUGGAUAUGUUGUUUUUGUCUCUCUUUCUCUUUCUUGAUCUCUUUCGCAUACCCUUGGUGUGCAUUGAGGGAAGGUUAUGGAAGCACAAAUUCGCAUACAAGAUCGAAGUUAAAGCUUGAACUUUUUCUAGAUCUGUUGAUGACGUGUCUCGAUUCGUUGAUGAUGAUGUUACAAGAUCAUAGGAUCAAUGGUAAAGCUUGAGCUUUUCCAAAUAUGGAUAUGUUGUUUUUCUUUCUCGAUCUCUUUUGCAUACCAUGGGUGUGAAAUGAGGGAAGGUUAUGGAAGCACAAAUUCGCAUGCAAGAUCGAAGUUAAGGCUUGAACUUUUCCAGAUCUAUUGAGAUAUGUCUCGAUUCGUUGUUGAUGAUGUUGUUACAGGAUUAUAGGUAAAUGUUGAAUGGAUUUGUUGUUUAAUUUCUCUUUCUUUUUCUCGAUCUCUCUCGCUUUCUCGAUCUCCAUCGCAUGCCUUGGGUGUGAGUUGAUGAGGGAAGGUUUGGGAGCACAAAUUUAUGGAUUUGUUUAUGUUUCUAUUGGUCAUGUUUUUGUUGUUUGAUGAUGUGUCUCAAUUUGUUGAUGAUGAUGUUGUUACAGGAUCAUAGGUAAAUCUUGAACUUUUCAAAAUCUGGAUUUAUUGUUUAAUUUCUCUUUCUCGAUCUCCAUCGGAUACCUUGGGUGUGAGUUUAAGGAAGGUUAU